AGAGUUUGAUCAUGGCUCAGAACGUACGCUGGCGGCACGCCUAACACAUGCAAGUCGAACGAAGUAGCAAUACUUAGUGGCAGACGGGUGAGUAACAUGUAGGUAUCUGCCCNUUGGCCUGGAAUAACACGAGGAAACUUGUGCUAAUACUGGAUAAGUCUUUACGGAGAAAGCUUUAUGCACCAUUGGAUGAGCCUGCACUUGAUUAGUUUGUUGGUGGGGUAAUGGCCUACCAAGACUGUGAUCAAUAGCUGAUUUGAGAGGAUGAUCAGCCACAUUGGGACUGAGACACGGCCCAAACUCCUACGGGAGGCAGCAGUGGGGAAUCUUGCACAAUGGAGGAAACUCUGAUGCAGCGAUGCCGCGUGAGUGAAGAAGGCCCUUGGGUUGUAAAGCUCUUUCGUCGGGGAAGAAAAUGACUGUACCCGAAUAAGAAGGUCCGGCUAACUUCGUGCCAGCAGCCGCGGGUAAUACGAAGGGACCUAGCGUAGUUCGGAAUUACUGGGCUUAAGAGUUCGUAGGUGGUUGAAAAAGUGGUGGUGAAAUCCCAGAGCUUAACUCUGGAACUGCCAUCAAAACUUUUCAGCUAGAUAUGAUAGAGGAAGC
rnacentral:rRNA from 1 species